UACGUAGGUGGCAAGCGUUGUCCGGAUUUAUUGGGCGUAAAGGGCGCGUAGGCGGCUUUUCAAGUGACGGGUGAAAUCCCUCGGCUUAACCGAGGAACUGCCUGUCAGACUGGAAGGCUUGAGACCGGGAGAGGUGAGUGGAAUUCCCAGUGUAGCGGUGAAAUGCGUAGAUAUUGGGAGGAACACCAGUGGCGAAGGCGGCUCACUGGACCGGAACUGACGCUGAGGCGCGAAAGCGUGGGGAGCAAACAGG
rnacentral:rRNA from 1 species